CUAUCUCUGACAGCUCCACCAAACAGUUGUCCUCCACCUCCCAAAUGAACCUCCAUUCCACAGCCUUAUAUGACCAGCAGCAACUGUGUUACCCUCCAGCCCCCACCCUGCUCCAAGCUCUCAGCCUGUGCUGAGAAGGCAUCAUAUAUCCAGGCAGGACAAUACAGUCGAUUUGCUGCUGCCUCAUAGUAGCCUGGUGACAGCUGGUCAGUGGUAAGCUUUGGAGACUCGAGGAUCAGACGAGGCCUCUCUCUUUUUCCUCUCUCUGUCCAUCGGAGCCUGGUCAGCCAGUCUUUCUGUGUCUGUCCAUCGGAGCCUGGUCAGCCAGUCUUUCUGUCUGUCCAUCAGAGCCUGGUCAGCCAGUCUUUCUGUGUCUGUCCAUCAGAGCCUGGUCAGCCAGUCUUUCUGUCUGUCCAUCGGAGCCUGGUCAGCCAGUCUUUCUGUGUCUGUCCAUCGGCACCUGGUCAGCCAGUCUUUCUGUGUCUGUCUGCCGGCGUCUCCUCACCAUGCAGCCUUCAACCAUGGACGCCAGCACCACCAAGCUCAUCCAGCCCACUACGGACCUCACCAUCACCCAGUUGAACCAGGAGUGUCUCCUCCACCUCCUCUCCUACCUGGAUAAAGACAGUUGUAGGUCUUUCUCCCUGACCUGCCAUCGCCUCAGAGAGGUCUACCUGGACCCCAGGCUGUGGUCACUGCUCUUGUUCCGCUCCCCCUCUGAGCUGAGGAGAGAGAACUAUGUGUUAGGACCGUCGCUGCGCUAUCUGGCGGUCACCUGGCACAGCACCAGGGUCAAGGUCUGUAACAUAGAGGACUGGAUGAAGAAUCAGUUCCAGAAGGAUCUCUGUAGCAAACAUGAGAGUCUGGUCAGCAGCUUCCUAGAACGUGUCUGUACCAUGUGUCCUAACCUGCUGUCCCUGACCCUGUCUGGCUGCGGGCAUAUCUCAGACCAGGAAGUGAUCUGUGUUCUGCAGAGCUGCAGUCGACUCCGCUCCCUCCGUCUGGAGAACUGUGUCCGGGUCACAGAUCUUACCCUGCAGGCCCUGGUGCUCCACGGGGCCGGGCUCCACCAGGUCACAGUGGACUUCUGCCGUAACGUUACCCAGGCGGGGCUGGAGACGGUCAGGGAAAGACGGCCGGACAUUAGGCUGACCGCUGAGAGGAGCGCAGGGAUGAUACCUGAUAGUAAACCGGACAAGAGAACGCAGCUACCACUCAGACGGAGACUUAUGCAGAAGGUCCUAAUGUUCUCCUGAUGACACUACGCCUGUGUCUCUAUGGGCCCUGGUUAAAAGGAGUCCACUACAUAGGGAAUAGGGAGCUAUUUACGACUAGUGUGCCAUUUGGGAGACAACCUACUGCUGCAGAAGGUCCUGCAGUUCUCAUGAUGAGAGGCUAUGGCUGUGUCCCAAAUGGCUCCAAAUGGCUCCCUAUUCCCUUUGUAGUGCACUACUUUAGACCAGAACCCAAUAUGGACUACAGAAGGUUCUGCUGUUAUCCUGAUGACCAGAACCCAAUAUGGACUUAGAAGGUUCUGCUUU